rnacentral:rRNA from 1 species
GACGAACGCUGGCGGCGUGCUUAACACAUGCAAGUCGAACGCGCCUGUCCUCUGGGUUUCUGGGGGGUGGGUGAGUGGCGAACGGGUGAGUAACACGUGAGUAACCUGCCCCCUUCUUCGGGAUAACGGUCUGAAAGGGCUGCUAAUACCGGGUAUUCACUGGUCUCCGCAUGGGGUCUGGUGGAAAGGUUUUUUUCUGGUGGGGGAUGGGCUCGCGGCCUAUCAGCUUGUUGGUGGGGUGAUGGCCCACCAAGGCGUUGACGGGUAGCCGGCCUGAGAGGGUGCCCGGUCACAUUGGGACUGAGAUACGGCCCAGACUCCUACGGGAGGCAGCAGUGGGGAAUAUUGCACAAUGGGCGCAAGCCUGAUGCAGCGACGCCGCGUGAGGGAUGGAGGCCUUCGGGUUGUGAACCUCUUUCGCCCGUGGUCAAGCCGCGACGUGGGUCGUGGUGAGGGUAGUGGGUAAAGAAGCGCCGGCUAACUACGUG